GCAGACGCAGGCUCUCUCUGUAUCGAGUAUGACCGUGCUCUGCCACAUGGCACGUGCCCUCAAAAUGCGACCCUGCCAUCCCAAGUCUCAUGAACAGCAUCUGCACCUGAAUCUAACCAACUACCUGUGAGCUGGGAUUUGUAGAAGAAGAAGAAAACAAAACCCUACAAUGAGUCCCAGUGAGGCACAGAGCGCUCGGAACUUCAAGGAGUUAAAGCUGCGGAGGGCGCUUUCACGUUAACAGGAAGAUUCUGCAUGCAGCUGCUCUGGCCAUGCUCUCUAGCUAGUCAGGAAAUGGGUGUUGAGCUGAAGCUGAAAAUACAAGCUGCAAUCAAGCCCGACCCAGCAAAGUGACAGACUUCCUGUGUAAAAUGGUCAGAAAUCUCUUUUUUUUUUUCAUGUCUCCACAUGCAUGCACAUGCAUUUAAAUCCAUGCUGCAAGGCUGCUCUUUUCUCUGGGGACACUGGUACAGUCACCUAGCCCAUCACAGUUUCUUCCUUGAUGGCACCGGCGACAUCCAGACUACAAUUUACAGUUCCUCCAUCCAUGUACUGGGUUACAAAUUAUGCCAUCCUCCCUAGAAUGAGAAUGCAGGGUGAGCGGCAGACAAUCAAACGGCAUUCGGCAUCUCUUUCUUCUCAGGCGCUCGCUCGCUCUGCUUUCCUCCAACUCUGCCUCGUCGUCAGGCAGACAGACACAUCAGGUACCUGGUUUAUCCAUCUUCAGCUCCACUCUCAGGUAAAAUGCCACCACAUCUCGGCAUGGGUUUCCCCCCACACUAAUCCCUGGGAGCAGCCCAAGCUGGGUGCGCCCUGCGGAGCAUCGGUGGCCAUUGGAUGGAUGGUAUUCCUGACUUCUCCUGCCCUGGUCCUUGGCAUUCUUUCUAUCCAUCCCACCCCGGGUCUUCUGCGGCAUCACCCCGUCCUCCACGUCCCCUCAUCCAGCUGCGAGGGGACCCUGGCCAGAGCUCCACCAGCAGGUCCUUCUUCCUCACCGCGUACACCAUCGAUGCCGGGUUCGGGUGCACCACGGAGAAGCCGAGGCCGGGAGACGGCAGGAGCAGCUCAGGUAACCAGGGGAAGCUUGGCGUGCCCACAGCGAUGCAGCCCUGGAGCUGUGAGGAAAGACGGUCUGGCUUCAGAAUUAAAAUUAAAAAAAAAAAAAAAGAAAGGAAGGAAGAAAGAAACACAAAACAGCGCAGCUCGGUGCCUGCGGGGGUGGAAAAAACAGACACAAACCAUAAAAAAAAAAGCAAGAGUUAAAAUCAAAUUUCAAAAAAAAAUAAUACAUAGAUCAGAGUACUUCAUGUGACUUUUAUUUCUGACGUUUCUCGGGUUACUGGCCUCCCCGCCCCCUCCAAAAUCUCUUCUGUCCCUGAACGCUACUGGCCAUGAGUGCCGAGUCACAAAGGCUUUUUGCUCCUAAGUGCUGCAGACCCAGCAUCACAUGAGAAGCCACAUGACAACUGGAGUCGGCUGCUAAUGUGGUCAACUGUGUUGCCGAGGCACGGGAGUAGGAGGGAGACAAAUCUUAAGUGAGACAUGCCCCUCUCAUGCUGCCAGGAAGAAAUUUCCUUAAAAGAACAAUGAGGAAAAGGCAUCCCUGAAGAAAUGCUUGUGAAUGCCUACAGACUUUCAUAUACACACACUUACACAGCCUACAGAGACCAUGGGUGCUUGGAGACAUUCUGAGGAUGCUGUACCACAGACACUAGCUGGAUGGCAGCAAGAUUAUUUCUAGUUUGUAUUAGUCAAAGCUGAUUCCACUUAAGUGGAUUCCUGAAAAGCACACACCAUGUCUUCAGAGCAUGAUCAGCCUUGGAAAACCAAUUCUAUUAUCUCUCCCUGCAAUCUGUAUCUGAACCUGCAUUCUGAAUAAUUUAUUUUUAGACUAAUAAGAUGCUUGCCAAGACUGCUCCCCUUUUCUUCAGUGAGUGGCACAGGCAAUAUUCACCCAAGUGGGAGAAGCUUGCCCCUUUGUAGGGAGAAAAGACGAGACAGUCUUCAUUAUUUUCAAAAAAUGCAAUUUCCUAUUUAAAGGCAUACAAACAUACGAUAAAGUUCUCCUGGAAGUAAGCAUUAAAAACAAGCAAAAUGUUUCUGCUUCAUUGAAUUGACAUGCCUCUUAUUUGCAGUCUGGCGUCUAAUGCUGGCAAAUGGUGGUGAAAUUUUUCUAAUGCUGCUCAUGGCUGCAGCUAGAGCCCUUAAGCCACUUGGAUAUUGCUACUUCUCGGCAGGGUAAGAGCAAACAACUGCUUUCUGGAGCACCUCUCUGCAGAGGUGCCGCACUGCCAGAUGAGAAAACCGCAGCAACCGAGAUGUCGAGUACUUUGACCAAGGCCACACAGCAAACAGGUGGAGGAGCCAGGCUGCAAAUUCAGGCAGUCAAGCUCCAGAAUUCUUGCACCAGGCUCCAUCACGCUACCUGCGUCUCUCUUCCUUCCUUCUCCCCUCUCCCACCAGACCCCAAACACCAAAUAUCCACUUAAGGCUGAACCUGCUCUUGGGUCUGCCCAGGUCUUCACAUCAUUACGAAAACAACAGACAGCAACAUUCAAGGAAGAAAAGACAACUCUUCUAGUGACAUGUUUACCUAGUGAGAAAUAAUCAAAUGGCAUACCAUAGAGUUUUAAGGAAAAUUAAAGCAGGGCACAAAAGUUGACAAGUUUGUUCAUACCACAGAGACAGUGACUAGAAAAACAUGUGAAUGUAUAAGUCAACAUGGUGGGCUGAGACAUGCCUGGAAGUAGCAGAGAGCCAGCUAGAAGGGGCUAGAUGAGAAGAUGAGGCAGAUAAGCCCAAUCCAAUAAUCCUACUGAUGACAGCCAGUAUGUAUUAAACAUCCAUGACAUAGAAUCAAGCUUUCUACAGGGGCUUUAGAACCACUUAAUUUUUACAACUCUGCAAAUACGCUAUUAUUUUUAUUUUACAAAUGAGGAAACUGAGGCAGAGAUUAAGUAACUUCCUCAAGAUCAAAGAGCUAACGAUCAUUUGAGGCAAGAGUCACACCUUGCUCUAUUUGACUCUACAGCUUGUGCUCUUGAGAUUAUAGUCAUAUUACCACAGGCCAAGUUCGAAGCAUGAUCUAGAUCAAAAAAGACCAAUCGGGAGGUCUAGGCGAACAGGAUCAAACCCCAAGCAUCUGGGUCAUUAAGAUGGCACCAGUAAACAACACUGAGCUCAGACAGUAGGAUCACAGAUCAGAGGCAGCUUGCUCUUUGGUUACGGGCUUCAGUCCUGUGCCUGCUGAAAGUAAAUGCCAUCUGAUUGGAAUCAGAGCUGCCUGGAUCAUCUCAGAGCCAAACAAAUAGAAUUAGCUGCUGCAAACCCUUUUGGGAAUUAAUCAGAGUGUAAGUAAAAACAUAACCAUAUAAAAUGAGCCCUGAUAAAGUCUGAAAACAAGGGAACUUGGAGUAGCUAAGAGAAAUGACCAAGAUGUAAAUAAGAAGCUAAAUAAACUGGGGCCACCUAUAGGAUAGAGCCACGUCUGUGAUGGACAAAGUGUGAUGAACCACAGACAAAAAGAUGGUGAAUUCUGGAUAAUAAGAAAUGUUGAUGAGAUGGAAGAACCACCUGUUUUAUGUAAAGGUCCAAAUAACCAGAUCACAGUGGACAGCCACUCAAAUCAUGCCUUCAUAAUACAGAGUAUUAUUGAGAAUAACUCAAUUCGCAGGGAGCUUUAGGCAGCCAGUACUAGAUAGCCUGUCAGGGAAAACAGAAAGAUAAUUACAGAAAAGAAUCAUAUCCUCAGAAAAACAAAAAUUAAUCAAACUAAGUUUGUAAAGUCUAUCUUACAGAUACAUUGUCUGGACUCAUGCUCCCAAAAAUACUGUUUCUGAUUUCAUGCCAAUGCAUUUGGCUAAUUUAAUGGUUUCGUCCUGUUAUUUCUAAACUUUAACUCGUAAUAUCUUAGAAUCUUUCCAGUUUCUUAAAGAAUCUUAAGAAAUUCAUAAUCACAAAGGACAAAAUUUAUUUUCAAAAAAUUAAACAAUGAUAUAAUGGUUUCUCUGUUGGAGAAAAAUCAAUCGUAUGACAAUCACAUUAAAAAAUGUAACUCCAAUCAAAUAGAGGUAAUGCUUGAUUAAAUACAAGUAAAACUGAUAGGCAAAUUUCACUGAAUA